ACAUGCAAGUCGAACGGUGACGAUGGAGCUUGCUCUGUCUGAUCAGUGGCGAACGGGUGAGUAACACGUGAGUAACCUGCCCCCGACUCUGGAAUAACCGUGGGAAACGACGGCUAAUACCGGAUAUGAGACGCACAGGCAUCUGUGGGUCUGGAAAGAUUUAUCGGUCAGGGAUGGACUCGCGGCCUAUCAGCUUGUUGGUGGGGUAAUGGCCUACCAAGGCGACGACGGGUAGCCGGCCUGAGAGGGCGACCGGCCACACUGGGACUGAGAUACGGCCCAGACUCCUACGGGAGGCAGCAGUGGGGAAUAUUGCACAAUGGGCGCAAGCCUGAUGCAGCGACGCCGCGUGAGGGAUGAAGGCCUUCGGGUUGUAAACCUCUUUCAGCAGGGAAGAAGCGAAAGUGACGGUACCUGCAGAAGAAGCGCCGGCUAACUACGUGCCAGCAGCCGCGGUAAUACGUAGGGCGCAAGCGUUGUCCGGAAUUAUUGGGCGUAAAGAGCUCGUAGGCGGUUUGUCGCGUCUGCUGUGAAAACCUGAGGCUCAACCUCGGGCUUGCAGUGGGUACGGGCAGACUAGAGUGCGGUAGGGGUGACUGGAAUUCCUGGUGUAGCGGUGGAAUGCGCAGAUAUCAGGAGGAACACCGAUGGCGAAGGCAGGUCACUGGGCCGCAACUGACGCUGAGGAGCGAAAGCAUGGGGAGCGAACAGGAUUAGAUACCCUGGUAGUCCAUGCCGUAAACGUUGGGCACUAGGUGUGGGGCUCAUUCCACGAGUUCCGUGCCGCAGCAAACGCAUUAAGUGCCCCGCCUGGGGAGUACGGCCGCAAGGCUAAAACUCAAAGAAAUUGACGGGGGCCCGCACAAGCGGCGGAGCAUGCGGAUUAAU
rnacentral:rRNA from 1 species